GGCCUGAUGGUCUAGAGGUACGAUGCUUGCUUCGGGUUGGCCCACUUUCACUUGAAAGUAUGAAUGCAAGAGGUCCCGGGUUCAAUUCCCGGUCAGGCCC
rnacentral:tRNA from 1 species